AUAGGGAACAUUCAUGCCAUGUUUGGUUUCAUUCCAUUCAGUGGUUCUCUAAAAGAAGUCAUUUGUAUGCAUCUCCAAUAGGGUCCUAUGUUAAACUAAGUCCACCGCUGGCGGCCAUCUUGGAUGAUGGAUCGGUUACAAAGUAACAACACAUGGUCAGCACCUCAUAAGGAACCUUCAUGCCAUGUUUGGUUUCAAUUCAUUCAGUGGUUCUCUAAAAGAAGUCAUUUGUAUGCAUUUCC
rnacentral:lncRNA from 1 species